GUGCAGCAGGCGAGAAACUUCGCAAUGCGCGAAAGCGCGACGAGGGGAUUCCAAGUGCAUGCACUAAGUGUAUGCUUUUCGUGAGUUUAAAACGCUCACGGAAUAAGGGCUGGGUAAGACUGGUGCCAGCCGCCGCGGUAAUACCAGCGGCCCUAGUGGUGAUCGUUAUUAUUGGGCCUAAAGCGUCCGUAGCCGGUCCGGUAAAUCUCUGGGUAAAUCGUUGAGCUUAACUCAGCGAAUUCUGGGGAGACUGCUGGACUUGGGACCGGGAGAGGUCGGAGGUACUCCAGGGGUAGGGGUGAAAUCCUGUAAUCCUUGGGGGACCACCGGUGGCGAAGGCGUCCGACCAGAACGGGUCCGACGGUAAGGGACGAAGCCCUGGGGCGCGAACCGGAUUAGAUA
rnacentral:rRNA from 1 species